GAUGAAGAACGCAGCAAAAUGCGAUAAGUAAUGUGAAUUGCAGAAUUCAGUGAAUCAUCGAAUCUUUGAACGCACAUUGCGCCCGCCAGUACUCUGGCGGGCAUGCCUGUCCGAGUGUCAUUUCAACCCUCAGGGCCCUCCAGCAGGGCGCUGGUGUUGGGGAUCGGCAGUCCCAGCGGCUGCCGUCCCUGAAAUGUAGUGGCGGUCCCACCGUGACCUCCCCUGUGCAGUACAUCGCUCGCAGAGGGACAGCGGUGCGGCCACGCCGUAAAACGCCCAACUCUUCAAGGUUGACCUCGGAUCAGGUAGGACUACCCGCUGAACUUAAGCAUAUCAAUAAGCGGAGGA
rnacentral:misc_RNA from 1 species